UUACCGAGUUAUUCAACUCAUCAACCCUGUGAACAUACCUAAACGUUGCUUCGGCGGGAAUAGACGGCCCCGUGAAACGGGCCGCCCCCGCCAGAGGACCCUUAACUCUGUUUCUAUAAUGUUUCUUCUGAGUAAAACAAGCAAAUAAAUUAAAACUUUCAACAACGGAUCUCUUGGCUCUGGCAUCGAUGAAGAACGCAGCGAAAUGCGAUAAGUAAUGUGAAUUGCAGAAUUCAGUGAAUCAUCGAAUCUUUGAACGCACAUUGCGCCCGCCAGUAUUCUGGCGGGCAUGCCUGUUCGAGCGUCAUUACAACCCUCAGGCCCCCGGGCCUGGCGUUGGGGAUCGGCGGAGCCCUUUGUGGGCACACGCCGUCCCCCAAAUACAGUGGCGGUCCCGCCGCAGCUUCCAUCGCGUAGUAGCUAACACCUCGCGACUGGAGAGCGGCGCGGCCACGCCGUAAAACACCCAACUCUUCUGAAGUUGACCUCGAAUCAGGUAGGAAUACCCGCUGAACUUAAGCAUAUCAAUAAG
rnacentral:rRNA from 1 species